ACGGAAGGCAGCAGCUAAGAAUAUUCCGCAAUGGACGAAAGUCUGACGGAGCGGCGCCGCGUGGAUGAUGAAGGUCGGAAGAUUGUAAAAUCCUUUUAUAACUGAGGAAUAAGCCUUAUGAGAGGAACGUAAGGUGGUGGCUGUAGGUUAUGAAUAAGCAACGGCUAAUUACGUGCCAGCAGCCGCGGUAACACGUAAGUUGCGAGCGUUGUUCGGAAUUAUUGGGCGUAAAGGGCAUGUAGGCGGUUUUGCAAGCUUGGUGUGAAAUCUCGGAGCUCAACUCCGAAAUUGCGUUGAGAACUGCAUAACUAGAGUCACUGAGGGGCAAUCAGAAUUCCAGGUGUAGGGGUGAAAUCUGUAGAUAUCUGGAAGAAUACCAAUGGCGAAGGCAGGUUACCAGCAGAUGACUGACGCUGAGGCGCGAAAGCGUGGGGAGCA
rnacentral:rRNA from 1 species